rnacentral:rRNA from 1 species
GGAUCCAGACUUUGAUCAUGGCUCAGGACGAACGCUGGCGGCGCGCCUAACACAUGCAAGUCGAACGGGGUUAUACUGGAUGAAGUUUUCGGAUGGAAUUUGGUAUAACCUAGUGGCGGACGGGUGAGUAACACGUGAGCAACCUGCCUAUCAGAGGGGGAUAACGAUUGGAAACGAUCGCUAAUACCGCAUGACAUAGCGGAACCGCAUGGUUCUGCUAUCAAAGAUUUUAUCGCUGAUAGAUGGGCUCGCGUCCGAUUAGAUAGUUGGUGGGGUAACGGCCUACCAAGUCGACGAUCGGUAGCCGGACUGAGAGGUCGAACGGCCACAUUGGGACUGAGACACGGCCCAGACUCCUACGGGAGGCAGCAGUGGGGGAUAUUGCACAAUGGGGGAAACCCUGAUGCAGCGACGCCGCGUGAGGGAAGACGGUCCUCUGGAUUGUAAACCUCUGUCUUCGGGGACGAAAGUAGACGGUACCCGAGGAGGAAGCCACGGCUAACUACGUGCCAGCAGCCGCGGUAAUACGUAGGUGGCAAGCGUUGUCCGGAAUUACUGGGUGUAAAGGGAGCGUAGGCGGGCAGGCAAGUCAGGCGUGAAAUAUAUCGGCUCAACCGGUAACGGCGCUUGAAACUGCAGGUCUUGAGUGAAGUAGAGGUUGGCGGAAUUCCUAGUGUAGCGGUGAAAUGCGUAGAUAUUAGGAGGAACAC